GUCCUUGUCGAUUAGGGGUUAAAUCAUCACGUUGUGGUCGCUGUGGUCUUAAACCGUGAAGCCGGAAGUUCGAAUCCUCCCUAGGACA
rfam:Postia placenta Mad-698-R POSPLscaffold_16_Cont1235, whole genome shotgun sequence.